AGAAUGACGGACGUCAGAUGGUCUGGAAAUCAUCUUAUGGACCAGAUUCUCAGAUUGAUGAGCAGCAAUAAUCAAGUCUCUAAGGAUUGUGACUCAUUCCUUUCCACAUGACACAGAAAAUGGAUUGAGAUUCAGCUCACAGCUCCAGUGGAAACCCUAUGCCAUCUGACACGUAGCAGGAUCAAUGAUCCAAAACGAAAAGGAUCAACUGUGAGAACAUGGAAACACAAAACAGAAACAAG